GUGGGGAAUAUUGGACAAUGGGCGCAAGCCUGAUCCAGCCAUGCCGCGUGAGUGAUGAAGGCCUUAGGGUUGUAAAGCUCUUUCAGUGGGGACGAUAAUGACGGUACCCACAGAAGAAGCCCCGGCUAACUUCGUGCCAGCAGCCGCGGUAAUACGAAGGGGGCUAGCGUUGUUCGGAUUUACUGGGCGUAAAGCGCACGUAGGCGGAUCGUUAAGUCGGGGGUGAAAUCCUGGAGCUCAACUCCAGAACUGCCUUCGAUACUGGCGAUCUUGAGUCCGGAAGAGGUGAGUGGAACUCCUAGUGUAGAGGUGGAAUUCGUAGAUAUUAGGAAGAACACCAGUGGCGAAGGCGGCUCACUGGUCCGGUACUGACGCUGAGGUGCGAAAGCGUGGGGAGCAAACAGGAUUAGAUACCCCAGUAGUCC
rnacentral:rRNA from 1 species